GAUGAACGCUGGCGGCGUGCCUAAUACAUGCAAGUCGAGCGAACGGACGAGAAGCUUGCUUCUCUGAUGUUAGCGGCGGACGGGUGAGUAACACGUGGAUAACCUACCUAUAAGACUGGGAUAACUUCGGGAAACCGUAGCUAAUGCCGGAUAAUAUUUUGAACCGCAUGGUUCAAAAGUUAAAGACGGUCUUGCUGUCACUUAUAGAUGGAUCCGCGCUGCAUUAGCUAGUUGGUAAGGUAAAGGCUUACCAAGGCAACGAUGCAUAGCCGACCUGAGAGGGUGAUCGGCCACACUGGAACUGAGACACGGUCCAGACUCCUACGGGAGGCAGCAGUAGGGAAUCUUCCGCAAUGGGCGAAAGCCUGACGGAGCAACGCCGCGUGAGUGAUGAAGGUCUUCGGAUCGUAAAACUCUGUUAUUAGGGAAGAACAUAUGUGUAAGUAACUGUGCACAUCUUGACGGUACCUAAUCAGAAAGCCACGGCUAACUACGUG
rnacentral:rRNA from 1 species